GGUGGUUGGUGGCGCCCUUCCCUGUGGUGGGUGGAGUAUUAACGCAUAGCUGUUAUCACAACAUGCAAAAUCUCUAACCCCGCUUAAUUCGGGGUUUUUUUAU
rfam:Rhodnius prolixus Rhodnius_prolixus-3.0.3-2416.3, whole genome shotgun sequence.